CACGUAGGGGGCGAGCGUUGUCCGGAUUUAUGGGGCGUAAAGAGCUCGUAGGCGGUUCGAUAAGUCGGGUGUGAAAACUCUGGGCUCAACUCAGAGACGCCACCCGAUACUGUUGUGACUUGAGUCCGGUAGGGGAGUAUGGAAUUCCCGGUGUAGCGGUGAAAUGCGCAGAUAUCGGGAGGAACACCAGUGGCGAAGGCGGUACUCUGGGCCGGAACUGACGCUGAGGAGCGAAAGCGUGGGUAGCGAACAGG
rnacentral:rRNA from 1 species